rnacentral:lncRNA from 1 species
GGAAAACGGUACUAGAAGAUAGCUACUGGAUUGCUUUAUUAUUACACAGUCUCCCAAACAACUUCUAUUUAAAGAAAAGGGAAGUGUUGAUUAUUCCUGGGCAAGAUGGCUGAAUAGGAGCAGCUCCAGUCUGCAGCUUCCAACGAGACCAACGCAAAAGAGAAUCCCACCAGCAAGAAAACUUUCAGCAGACGUGGCUCCUAGACCUUGGAAUUCUCAGCCUCCAGAACUGUAAGAAAUACAUUUCUUUGCUUUAAAAAUUACCCAGUCUCAGGGAUUCAGUUAUAGCAACAGAAAACAGACUAAGUCCUAUGGUUUGAAUUUAUGUGUCCCUCCAAAAUUCAUAUGUUGAAACUUAAAUACCAAUGUGAUCAUAUUAAGAGUGAGUAGGUCCUGAGGGCUGUGUCCUCUUGAGUGGGAAUAAUGUGUUUUAAAAGAG